rnacentral:rRNA from 1 species
UACAGGGGGGGGCAAGCGUUGUUCGGAAUUACUGGGCGUAAAGGGCUCGUAGGCGGCCAACUAAGUCCGACGUGAAAUCCCAAAGCUUAACUUUGGAACUGCGUCCGAUACUGGAUGGCUUGAGUUUGGGAGAGGGAUGCGGAAUUCCAGGUGUAGCGGUGAAAUGCGUAGAUAUCUGGAGGAACACCGGUGGCGAAGGCGGCAUCCUGGACCGGCAUUGACGCUGAGGAGCGAAAGCGUGGGGAGCGAACAGG